rnacentral:rRNA from 1 species
UACAGGGGGGGCAAGCGUUGUUCGGAAUUACUGGGCGUAAAGGGUUCGUAGGUGGCCAACUAAGUCAGACGUGAAAUCCCUCAGCUUAACUGGGGAACUGCGUCUGAUACUGGAUGGCUUGAGUGAAGGAGAGGAAUGCGGAAUUCCAGGUGUAGCGGUGAAAUGCGUAGAUAUCUGGAGGAACACCGGUGGCGAAGGCGGCAUUCUGGACUACAACUGACACUGAGGAACGAAAGCCAGGGGAGCAAACGGG